GUACUGAUUCAAGAACCUGCACAUUUCAACGCAGCCCGAAAGCGUUAUAAUUUAAAGAUGAAAAUCAAGACCUGUCUCAAAGCUAAGUAAAAAUAAAGGCAUAACAUGAAGUAGGAUACACAAUGAAAGAUGGGAAAGAGAUCAAGAAGUAGGAACUGAUAUUGAUUUCUUUGUGUCGAUAUACGAGAUGCAGCACACAAUGACAUAAGAGAGUAAUAACUUCAAGAAAAUUGAAAUGAAAAAGACUC
rnacentral:lncRNA from 1 species